CCUACGGGAGGCUGCAGUGAGGAAUAUUGGUCAAUGGGCGCGAGCCUGAACCAGCCAAGUCGCGUGAGGGAGGACGGCCCUACGGGUUGUAAACCUCUUUUGCCGGGGAGCAACGGGCGUCACGUGUGGCGCCACUGAGAUUACCCGGAGAAAAAGCAUCGGCUAACUCCGUGCCAGCAGCCGCGGUAAUACGGAGGAAGCGAGCGUUAUCCGGAUUUUUUGGGUUUAAAGGGUGCGUAGGCGGAUCGUUAGAUCAGUGGUAAAAUAGCGGGGAUAUAUCCCUUCCCGCCAUUGAAACUGGCGCUCUUGAGUGGAAGAGAAGUAUGCGGAAUGCGUGGUGUAGCGGUGAAAUGCAUAGAUAGCACGCAGAACCCCGAUUGCGAAGGCAGCAUGCCGGCUUCCGACUGACGCUGAAGCACGAAAGCGUGGGGAUCGAACAGGAUUAGAUACCCUAGUAGUC
rnacentral:rRNA from 1 species